UACGUAGGGUGCGAGCGUUGUCCGGAAUUAUUGGGCGUAAAGAGCUUGUAGGCGGUCUGUCGCGUCUGCUGUGAAAAUCCGGGGCUCAACCCCGGGACUUGCAGUGGGUACGGGCAGACUAGAGUGUGGUAGGGGAGACUGGAAUUCCUGGUGUAGCGGUGAAAUGCGCAGAUAUCAGGAGGAACACCGAUGGCGAAGGCAGGUCUCUGGGCCACUACUGACGCUGAGAAGCGAAAGCAUGGGGAGCGAACAGG
rnacentral:rRNA from 1 species